UCCAGCGUGGGAAGCAGGAACCAAAGGUCUGUGCUGGCUCCCCCCGGGGAGCGCUGGGACUGGAGGACGGAAGGGAUGAGAAGGCGCCUUCCAGGCCUUCCCGCUGGGGUUAGCCCCGUGUCACCUGCCCCGACGGGGCCCCAGCCACGUCACCGCUGAGCCUCGGUCACCUUCUGUCACAACAGACCCCAGCAGCCUCAGGUCAGGCGGGGGGUCUGCACCAGCCCAGCAAGUGCAGCCGGGCCGCCUGGUGUGGGGCGGGCAGGCGGGGACGUGGCCAGUGAGGGAAGCCAGCCGUCCGCGAAUAAAACCCACCGAGUCAAGUUGGCCUGGAGCGUUUCUCCGUGGCCUCCGCCUUGUCAUUCCCAGAAGGGGAUGGAACCUGGCGUGUAAGGGACACCACGCGGUCGACAACAAGGACACUCGGGGCUGAGCGGAGGGGGCCGUGUGAUGCUCAGCGAAGCCGGCGUGACGGCCAGGACACCAAUUAGGAGGAAAUGACCCACCCCGGGCCCUGGCUCUCCCGCUGUCUGACGCCCCAAGGAAGGGAAAAAGGUCACUUGGGAGACUAUGGCACCGAAAUAUCAAGUCAGAUGGGUCACCCCCAAGGCCACAAACAUAAUUCCAAUUAAGGAGAUACUUUCCUUUACAAGGUCUGAGCACAGGGGAACUGGCAUAUCAUGAAUUCUCUCCCGCCCGCUUGUCUGUAAUUUAUUUCCCUGCCCCACUUACAACGUUGGCAAAGAUUCCGUGCAAUUCAAUCAAAUUUUAUAUUACGUGCUUGCCACGUGGCCGGUGGAAACGCGCACGACGGGGUCUUUCCAACCGCUCCGAGGACGGCCCGACUCUUCCAGACACACAGUCGGCACCUCACCGAUGUUUGCUGGGGGGCUGGGUGUGGAGGGGCCCAGACGGCCUCAGACUGGAGCCCUCCAGCAAGGCAGAGUGAAACCCUGGGGGUUCCGCCCCCCACCCCCAUCAGGCAGUACGGGGUGGAGGAAAGCUCACCCACCAGGCACCACAGUCCCUACCCAUCUAGGCCCGAGGGCCCUGGACUCACUCCAGAACAAUUAAAUCAGAGUGUCUGCUGGUGAGGCCUGGACCCUGACAUGUUAAAUUUUGAAUAUUUCGAUUCUGAUAUGCAGCCAGGGACGAGAGCUGCUGUGCCAGGCACACAAGAACAUUCCGGAAAGCCGGGGCCACCAUCACAGCCUGCAGGAGACACUGCCAAGUGGGCAACUGCACACAUAAGGACUUGCAGCCCAGACCUCAGGCGGGCGCUCACCCGCCCCAGCGGGUUCGCAUCAGAGCUGCUGCGGGGGGACCCCGCGGUCCCCGCAGGGCGCUCUUCCAGGGACUGACCCCAGAUUCAAACUCUACGAGGAUGUACGCGUCAGGCCUGAGUCUACCGUUGUCACACCGGCGUCACUCGAGCCUCAGCACAACUGUGGUCCCCACUUGACAAAUGAGGACACGGGAGGCUCGGGGUGAUUGCGGUUUGCUGAGAUCACGAGGCACGGAGCCCCCGACUCCAGCCAGCGGACGCCUCCGCGUGGGGCCGGCCCCCGGGAAGCCAGGCCACGCCGUCCGUACGGUUCCGUCACUGUCCUUAACACCCACCAGGCAGAGGAAGAGUCCUCUCCUUCCAGACUUCCCGUGAGAAGACCAGAGAGUGCACGUGGAAACACUCUGCUCCCGGGCCCCGGCGUUUACGGUCUGUGCGAGCUUGCACCCUGGGGCCGGGGGCUGGUGUGCGCCCGUCACCCGCCACCAUCAACAGGAACAGUAACAAUUAACGUGAUACCAGUGUUUCCCUGUGUGGACAGUGUCGUGCGAUCCACUGCCACAGGGUCUGAGAGACUUGGGGGCCGGCCCUGCCCCUCCGGCCCACACCUCCCAGCCUCCACACCCACCACAUGGUGGGGGGGAGGGGGGGGAGAGCUGGGAUUCGCAGACCUCGGCCAGGGCCCUGCUCAGGCUCCGCACAGGCCUCGUGUCUGGAUCACGGCAUCAUCAGCGGACCCAGUUUUCAGCGAGGCAGUGUCACGGCGCCUGCGUUAACCUCGAUUACCCAGCCUCCCUUUCGGGUGACCCCAUCUGUUACGGACAAUCUCACGCCUGCCUGAGCCCUCGGUGACUUGAAUUUCUCAGCACCCAGGAGGCUGUAACUCUGGAGAGGACCGAGUAUCAGAAUGCAUCUGCUACCGAGUACUUGCGUCCUGGGCAUCUGCUUAGAGUUCUCCUGCUUACAAAGCAUUUUUUGUAUUUCCUAAUUUGGUUUCCUAUUUGAUUUCGGGGAGGCAGGGAGAGCCACUCCCAUCUCAGAGAUGGGAAAACUGAGGCUUGGGAUAUUUGCACAAUUCCCCGAGGUCACACAGGCGGGGGCCCCAAAUCUCCCAACGUUGUUUUCUGUACAGGCCCAUGAGUGUGACCUGUGUGGGACCCUUGGGAACAUGACCCCCGGGCUUCAGCGGGCGGGCAGCCGGCCGCCAGGCAGGCAGAACAGCGUGUGCGGGCGCUUGGAGGCAGGUCUGCCCGGGAGCAGUCACGUCUGCCGUGCAGACUCAUCCUGUACCUUGAGCAUCUCUCACUGACAGAAAGAAAAAGCAAAACCAGAAACUCGGAGAAGAAUACGUCCACACCAGAAAAACAGGCAAACGUAGAGGCCAGACCCCUGCGUCCGGUGCUGGGCUGGGAGAGCGAGGAGACGGCAGGCCUCCCACAGCCCCUUCGAGGUGUCGCUCACACGGGGACGGGGACACGGUGCCGCCCGCUCGAGGACCCCCUGCCCCGUGUCUACCGCGCCCUGCGCCGGGCCCAGGAUGUUAGUCCCGAGCUGAUCGCCAAGAUCCCCCUCCAGGGGCCUCAUUUUACAGAUGGGAAACUGAGGCACCAAGCAGGAAGUGAGCGGUCUAUGGCCGACUUGCCAGGGUGGGGCUGAGCCACCACGUGGGCCUGUCCUUCUGUGGGUUCUGGGUGGCCAUGGCUAUGAGCCACAGCGGGGUCUGGGGUGCUGAGUGGGGCACGUCUUGGAGCGCUUGCUGCCUCCUCCCUGCAAGGGAGGAGGGACGUGCCCCUCCCCGGCCCUGCCUUGCUCUGCGUACCCACGUGGCCUCCCCCCUGCGCUGUGUCCAUUGCCCUGUGUCCCAAGAACAGAGGUGACGAUCGUCAGCUCAGGGUUCCUGGUCUGAAUAAGCUCCCCAGGCUCCACAGCCCCGGGGCUCCCGUGGGCGGUCACCCCAGACCCUAGACUCUUCUGUGGAGGGUCUGUGUCCCAUUUGUCUCUGUCCCAUUACCUCACACAGGGCCUGGCACGUAGGAGUAGGUACUCAAGUACUUGAUGAGUGAAUGAAUGAAUGAAUGAAUGAGUGAAUGAAUGAAUGAAAUAUCAUGCCAAAUUCCCAAGGAGGCAGAAUCAAGCUGAACUACCCCAUCACAGGUCUGAGCAUCCAGGUGGUAAA